rnacentral:rRNA from 1 species
CCUACGGGAGGCAGCAGUGGGGGAUAUUGCACAAUGGGGGAAACCCUGAUGCAGCGACGCCGCGUGUGGGAAGACGGUCCUCUGGAUUGUAAACCACUGUCCCCAGGGACGAAGAUGAAGGUACCUGGGGAGGAAGCUCCGGCUAACUACGUGCCAGCAGCCGCGGUAAUACGUAGGGAGCAAGCGUUGUCCGGAAUUACUGGGGGUAAAGGGAGGGUAGGCGGGAUGGCAAGUUGGGUGUUAAAUCUACCGGCUCAACUGGUAGUCGCACUCAAAACUGCUAGUCUUGAGUGAAGUAGAGGCAGGCGGAAUUCAUAGGGUAGCGGUGAAAUGCGUAGAUAUUAGGAGGAACACCAGUGGCGAAGGCGGCCUGCUGGGCUUUUACUGACGCUGAGGCUCGAAAGUGUGGGGAGCAAACAGGAUUAGAUACCCCUGUAGUC